rnacentral:tRNA from 1 species
GAAACAAAGUGUUGUCUGGUGUGGGGGCUUCUAACUCCUGUUGGAGUGGUUUGAUUCCGUUCUUGUUUCU